UAGAUACCCGGGUAGUCCACACCGUAAACGAUGAAUGCCAGUCGUCGGGUAGUAUACUAUUCGGUGACACACCUAACGGAUUAAGCAUUCCGCCUGGGGAGUACGGUCGCAAGAUUAAAACUCAAAGGAAUUGACGGGGGCCCGCACAAGCGGUGGAGCAUGUGGUUUAAUUCGACGCAACGCGCAGAACCUUACCAACCCUUGACAUCCUGUGCUAACCCGAGAGAUCGGGCGUUCCCUUCGGGGACGCAGUGACAGGUGCUGCAUGGCCGCCGUCAG
rnacentral:rRNA from 1 species